UAUGUAUGUGUGUAUAUAUAUAUAUAUAUAUAUAUAUAUAUAUAUAUAUUUGAUUUAGAUGUUAAAGGACAUUUGUCUUAUAUAAGUUAAAAUGUAGCUACUUACUCACAGCUUAGAGCCCCAUCCUCAGGAAUUUGAGAGUAAUUGACUCUCUCUCUCUUCUAAAGAAGAUUUGAAUUUGGCGCGCUUUUUGUAGAACAAGUCAAAAAUGAACCGUUACAUGACGCAUUUUUAGAAAGGUGGGAGUAGGCUAUAUAUAUAUAUUAGGAGCAGAAAUUGGGGGCUCUCUUCUCUUGAAUGCUGCACACACUCAAGCUCACACACUUGGAAAUGAGCUGACAUGCUAGAACACACUCAAGCUCUCACACUUAGAAGAAGGCUGACAUAGCCACACACACACACAAAGAUAUAUAUUUGCAACUUUCAUUUCAAGAUUAAGAAACUUAUUGAUGCUAUUUUUAUAUUCUACAAUUGAUGAUAUUCAUGUGAUAUUUUACUAUUUUAUCAUUAAAUACAUUUUGGAGUUUUUACACAAGAACGGAACGGAUUUUCUUGGAACUUUUCUCAUCAAUAUGAAUAUCGAUUAUUAAUAUAAUAAUACCGAUAUACUGACUUUAUUUCAAUGGCGAGCCUUAGCCAGAAUCGAUUUGCUUGAAUAUCGAACGUUUUUGAAUUAUUUCUCCUAUCGCUUGUCGAGAGGGAAAACAAGCAUUGAUCAUGCAGACAAGCUUCAAGGAGAAAUAAAAACGAAAGAACUUUCAGCAUCAUCGAAUGGAUCUGGAAACAUAGAAUUAUUUGGUGAAGAAGUUUACAUACGUAAGAAAAUCCUGUUUCUUGAUGACGUAAUUUCCCGUAAAGAGAGGGAAAGCGUGAAAGAAGUCGUCCUAAAUUGGAUCUGACUUAUGAGUCACCAAAAGAAGAGAAAUGUCAUAUUUCUAAGAUCUUCCAGAUGCAAACAAGCCCUUUGAAACUUAAGAAAAUAGUUCUGGGAGAAGAUGACAUAUGAGAUUCAUUUGUCAUAAUUAUUGUUGUCUUUUUAUGUUCAAUAAAGUUUUUCAACUUUACAGUACAGGAGUACAAGAGGAAGAAAAAGAAAGAAGAAUCAAUACCUCUAAUGAGAGGGAAAUUUCUAAAAACAAUUGACUUUUUAUUUUUGACGACUGAUGAUAUAAUUUUAUCCAUCAGAUAUAUUGUAGUUUUUAUAUAUGAACUUUUUAUGUGACGAGAUAUGUUUUUCAUAUCAAGAAGAGAUAUUUUUUACACACCAAUUUUUAAAAACAAAUGUAGUGUACUUUCAGAGUUGAAAGGGUUAAACUUUUUUACAAUGAAGUCUAGUUAGUAGGAACAUCUGGUGUUAAUUAAGCUAGAGUACAUGUUUCUUAAAAGGUACAUAAACAAGUUAGGAUUAACUUUACCUUGUAAUAUGCAUUUAGUUUUGAAGUCAUUUCACAUAUAUGAACAAAUUGAAGUUAAGAACAUAUUUUAUAUUUACAUUUUGACAAGGUUAUUAGAAAUGUUGUAUGGAUUAUAGUUAAAUAUGCUGAACACAAUUUGGAGGGAAAAAAUGAAACAUAUAUUUCUGAAGUGACAUUCAUACUUCAAAGUAUUGUACAACUAUGUUACAUUCAUGGAUUUAGGAAUAUUAAGGGGGUUGAUUUUAUGGCAAAA